CGUAACACGAUGUCGCAAACCAACAAUUGUAUCGUAUCGUUGCACUAGUGAUUUCAAAUAUAGUAAUCGCAGAACGAUUUUAAUCUUAGGCUUUCAGUAUUAAUUAUCAAAUAUCUGAAUAGUUUUCUAUCGUCGCAAGUAACUACGAUUUAAAUAUCCAAGUUAACUGUACUGUUUCAAAUACCGAUUCAUAAUGUACCGGCGUAUGUUCAUUUGUCACUUGCAAACCAAA